rnacentral:rRNA from 1 species
UACGUAGGGUGCAAGCGUUAAUCGGAAUUACUGGGCGUAAAGCGUGCGCAGGCGGUUGUGCAAGACAGAUGUGAAAUCCCCGGGCUCAACCUGGGAAUUGCAUUUGUGACUGCACGGCUAGAGUGUGUCAGAGGGGGGUAGAAUUCCACGUGUAGCGGUGAAAUGCGUAGAGAUGUGGAGGAACACCAAUGGCGAAAGCAGCCUUCUGGGCCAACACUGACGCUCAUGCACGAAAGCGUGGGGAGCAAACAGG